GGCUGUGGCGUCCUUGAGUCGGACUCUGAUCAACAAACCAUCUGUAGCAGCUAUUUUUUUCUCGAUCUUUCACUUCAAGCACUAUCUCAGUUCCUGGUUUGGCUCUUAGUUUCGUUAUCCUUCACAUCUUCUUCGAAUCCGACCUCUCGUCACUGCCCUCACAGAGUGCCCUCACAGAGUUUCAUCGGUUUCUACCGGUUGGUUUGAGAUUCUUUGCAACGCGUCAGACGGCGUCAUCUCUCAACAAUCCCAAUCCGAACUGGUCCAAUCGUCCGCCGAAGGAGAUGAUAUUGCUCGAUGGCUGCGAUUUUGAGCACUGGCUCAUUGUUAUAGAGAAACCUGAAGGAGAACCCACAAGAGACGAAAUCAUAGAUAGCUACAUCAAGACCCUCGCUACGGUGGUUGGGAGUGAGGAUGAAGCAAGAGCAGUAA